rnacentral:rRNA from 1 species
UACGGGAGGCAGCAGUAGGGAAUAUUGGGCAAUGGGCGAGAGCCUGACCCAGCCAUGCCGCGUGCAGGAAGAAGGCUUUCUGAGUCGUAAACUGCUUUUGACAGGGAAGAAUAAGCUGGUCGUGACCAGUGAUGACGGUACCUGCAGAAUAAGCACCGGCUAACUCCGUGCCAGCAGCCGCGGUAAUACGGAGGGUGCGAGCGUUGUCCGGAUUUAUUGGGUUUAAAGGGUGCGUAGGCGGCCUUUUAAGUCCGGGGUGAAAGCCCGUUGCUCAACAACGGAACUGCCCUGGAUACUGGAAGGCUUGAGUACAGACGAGGUUGGCGGAAUGGACUGAGUAGCGGUGAAAUGCAUAGAUACGGUCCAGAACCCCGAUUGCGAAGGCAGCUGACUAGGCUGUUACUGACGCUGAGGCACGACAGCGUGGGGAGCGAACAGGAUUAGAUACCCUGGUAGUCCACGCCGUAAACGAUGGAUACUCGCUGCGAGCUAAAGAUUGUUCGUGGCUUAGGGAAACCGAUAAGUAUCCCACCUGGGGAGUACGCCGGCAACGGUGAAACUCAAAUGAAUUGACGAAGGGC